rnacentral:lncRNA from 1 species
UUUUCUCCCUUGUAAUCUAUGCUUUCACUGUAAAGUAUUUAUAUUUUUAAUAAUAUGUUAUAUUUGUUUACAAUAUUGUACAAAAGAUUUGAAGAUGUUGCUUAAAGUUUCAAAAUUUAUUUUAGAGUGUACAAGUUUUAAAGUUUUAUUUCAUUCUUUAUUAAUUUUUUGAAACUUUUUCUUUACAGAUUUUGUUUUAUUAUUAUUGUGUUAAUGUUUGUGUUAUUAUUGCACUCUUGUCAGUCUUACCUGGUGAAACAUCUUCCAGUUUUAAAUUUUAAUGCUAUAAGUGUUCCUUCAUCAAACAUUUUAAAACAAAAUUGAUUACUGCAUAAAAAAGUAUUUUUCUCUUUGGUUUUAAAUACUUUUGCUGCCUAUCACACUGAGGCAUGUGAUGAAAUGAAUGCUAUCACUUAAUAGUCAAGUGGCUAGCAUGUGGUGAAAGGCAAGUUAAUACCUUAUUUUGACAUUAGUCAAUUUCUGGCAGCAAAUGUCAGCUUCAUUCAUUUUUCUGAGUGUAAAAUGCUAAAUAGUGUCAUUUUAUUUUUGCCUGUAAAUAAUUUCAGUACCUUUAAUAAGAAGAGUAUAAUGCAUUUUGCAUUUAAAGGAAAUUUUAUUCUAUAAAAUAGUUGAAGAUAAUUAUGUGGUACAUUGGUUUUAUGCUACUUGGUAAAAAAUAAUUUUUAUAAGCUAUAUAAGAAUUUGGUUUUAAUGGCAUUUAAAUAGAAUAACAUUUCCAGUCAUAAAAUGUGGUGCAUUACUUGCUGUAAAUGACUGUGUUUCUCAACCAUUUGCAGUUCUUUUCAAGAUGGCCAAUUAUAUAUUCAAAUGUAAUUAUUUUCUUUUAAUAAUUCUUAUCACUUUCUUAUAUUCAGUCAUUUAUUAUUAUGUUUUUCUAUUCAGUAUGAUCUCUUCUCAUUUGUAUGAAUUAAAUUUGAAAUGGCCUUAAAAUUUCUGCAUACUUUCAUUAUAUUUUGUGCUUUUAACUGAAUAGUAAAGGUGGGUUGUGAUGUUUAAAAUAAAUAUUUUGGUUAUGGAAUAUUUAUUACACAUGUUAUUGGUAUGUGAGUACUAUUUAGAUCUGUCAUUUGACUAUAGGUAUAUAUGCAAAGCUGUAAAAUAUUGGAUGAUUGCAAAUGAAAUGGCCAAGUUUUGUGAUGCUUGAAACUCAGAUAGGAAAGGAAGCAUGAAUUUUAUGAGACUAGUCACCAGCAUCAUUUAAUAUACUGUUGCCAAACGGAGGUCUGAUUGCAUUCUUUACAUUUAAUAAAUUCAAUGUCUUUGGAGAUGAAAAAUUCUCCUUUUGCCUAAGACAAAUGCUAAGUUAACACUUCUCUGCCAGAAAAUGGUCCACAUAUUGGGGGAAAAUAAUAAAUACUCUUUUGUUAUAAGUACCAGAUUCAGAAGUGUAUGUAUGUAUGUAUGCUUAUGUGUAUGUGUGUACACACAGAGAUACAUAUUAAUGUACAUAUACAUGCAUACAUAUGUACAUUUCUGGACCCGGGUCUGAUAACAGAACGGUACCAAAUAUUAAUAUAAUGACAAAGACCUAAUGAAUAAGGAGGGAGAAACAUGGUUUUAUGUUCCAUUUAGAUUAUCUUUUACAUGGUUCUCAGUGCAGUGUGGAAUCUUGAUUUGCUUUGGCUCAACAAGAGAGUAAGUCUAACCAGUGUUUAUUAUUUAAAACGCAGUUUUUAGUAUGUGUAUCAUAUAUCUAUACUAUAUUAAUAUAUAUGUAUCUAUAUAAUUUGAACUUGUGAGAGGCAUGAAUGACUAUUAAAUUGGACUGCUGUUGGUAAGCACAACUUUCGCGAAAUGGCUUAUUGGAGUUUACUAACUUUUGAGGUUACAUCAGGUACUGCAGUACAAGAUUUUUUUCCCCCUUCCCACAAAAACUCACAAUUUGCUGAAAAUAUCUUUCUUGUUUAUUCCUAACUGCUUUGGCUUUUUAUGUCUGAUAUUAGUUAAUGAGUUUAUGUACCAAUCCUGUAUCAAGUUUUCUUAUUGUACCUGUUGCACUUAGAUGAUGGAGAGUGAUGGAAUGACUGACAUUCAGUUUUUAUGUGGCUUUCCACAUUGCUUGGCUUGGAUCUGAUGCAGUAAAGUUCUUUAAUUCUGGGCCUGUAUCUUAGCAAAAUUUCGUGAAUAACUGUGAGAUGGUUUGUUAAGCAGUACUUCUUGUGCUUUGUUACUAUUUUUACAUUGUAGCACUUUCAGAAUUUCAUAGUGUAAACUUGUGCAUAAAAUUGUACCUUGCUUGCCCCCCCCCAGUGACUGAUUUUAUUUCAAAGCUUUCUGCAUUUCUCCUGUGUUUGAAUAUCUCGUAUCAUCCAAAAUUUGCAUACUGGAAAACUACAGCUCGCUUUCUCAUUAUUAGCAGAAUGAAUUUACUGUAUCUUUCAUUACCUAUUUUAUUUACCGUAAUCCAUUUCAUCUUUCAUUGCAAUAUAUUUGUAGUAGAGUUCACUCUUAUUUUCUCAUUCUUUAGGAUUUUGUUUUCUGAGAAUGAAUUAAUUAUGCUUCAUGAUACAAUAAUUAUAUCAAAAGAUUUAAAAAAUGCAUAAAAAUAAAGGAAAUACAUUCAAAUACAACGAAAUCAAGAUUUUUGUGCCAAGCAAAUAAGCCAUUGGUUACAGUAAGGUCUCUCUCCUUUUUUUUUUUUUUUUUUUUUUUUUUUUGCCGGGGGGGGAUAUUAAUUAAAUAAUCACAUAAUAGAAAAUUUUUAUGGUGGAUACAUUUCUGACAUCUUAAUGCCUUUGAUCAUAAAUUGCUCAUUAUUUAAAGCACAGAUCUUUUAUAGUUAUCUGAAUAAAGAAACAAAGAAUAAUUCAAAAUGAAUUUUUUAACUAUUAAAUUUUAAAUCAAAAUAUUAGUAUUUACAUUGCUGUAAUAUAAUGAAAAUUCUAUGCUGUGCUUCUUAUACUUGUAGAAAGUAUAAAUCUAGUCUUUAUACAAUGAUUCUUUUGACAAAAGUUUCUGCUGUCAUAGACAAUAUAGAUAAAAUUUUUCAAGACUUGGAUCUGUAACACAUAAAAAUUCUUCUGAAAUUUCAAAUUGUAUACUAAUUAUUGUUAGGUAGGUAACUUCUAUAUAUAGAAUUCUUACCCAGUUAAAUUAAAUGGAACUAGUAGAAUAAUCUAGGUAUCAACUUUUCCCACCUCAUAUUGCUAUUUUAUAAAAAUAAUUUAGUAAACAUGUUUAUGUAAUAUCCCCAAAAUGAAUAAUCAAAUUAAUAUUUAACAGUAAAUUGUUAUUAUGUAUUGCAUGUUAUCAACAUGUGUUUCUUCUUCCUUUUACAAUUUUGUGCUCUGUUGCUUAGAAUCCAAAUCUAAUUGCAGAAGAAAUUAUAAUUUUCCUUUUUGUGAGCCAAGUUUUAAGGUUUAAAAUAUAAGUAUGUGUUCUUUCCCUUCUCCUGUUGUGCCCGGUAGUUAGGUUUAUUUCACAUUAUCAAUUGAUUUCUCUUUGGCAAAAUAUGAACAUAAUGUUUUUCAUAGAGUUAUAAUGGUAUCUAUAAAAUUUGGUUAUUUGGAUAUAAACUUGAGUAUGUAAUCAAUCUGAUAAGAAAAUUAGUGAAGUAAAUAAUAGUAAUAAAUAAAUAAAAUAAACCUCUUUUUAGCAGAUAUAUGUUGGCAAUGUUUAUCAAGUAGAUGUGGUAUAUCUCUAAAGUAUUUGGCCCUGUGCUAGUUCAUUCAGCUGAAGAUAUGAAAAUUCCUUUUCUAGUUAUAAAGUUAGAGUGGAAGAUUCAAAUCAUCCCGCCCUUUUUUUUUAAAUACUUAAGAUGAUGAUGUGGCAGUGAAAUUCAUUUGAGAAGAACUGAGAGAAGAAUUUCCUUUUGUAUUAGUACAUUUUCAUAAUAUUAAAAAUUAAAGUUGAAAUAAGAGUUGUUAGGUUGCUUUUUGAAAUUCAUAAUCAAUUAAUGAGGAAAAUUAGAAAGUCCUUUUUUAUAUAGUAUUUCAUCUGCAUCUCAUAGACGUUAUAUCUUAUAAUACUGUCAUUUAUAUUCUGCGUGUUUUAUUUUUUAAGCUUUUAAUAACUUCUUGAUUAAAAUAGAAUCCAAUAUAGGUUGUUUUUCUGUGUAUACUGGAAUAAUUUAUUUGAGGAGUACAACCUUAUUGAGUAACCAGAUAAUUCUGGGCAUACAAGGGUUUAUACUUAUCAGUCGCUUAGUGACUCUGAUGCCAAAUUUGUGUGAUGUAACUUUAAUGUUACUCAUCUCUAGGAGUGAUUUCUGAGAUUUAAGUAUAAAAACAUGUUCAUACUCCCAGGUUGUUUAAUACAUAUUCUGCAGUUGAUAGCAUCAUGUUUGUGUAUCAUUUUGUGACAGUUCUCUUCAUUUGCAUGCCAUUAAUAAUGGGGUAUAUAUUGUGGCAUUUUUAUUUAUUUAAUGGCCUUCACCUUUCGAGCUUCUCUUGCUUCUGGUUUUAAAAGUCUGAUAGUGGCAAUAUCAAGAGACUGAGGCCAUUUUGAAAUAGAUAAAUCCACUAUCAGGUUUUAAAUGUCUGACGGCUAUUACCCCAGUGGAUCAGCUCUCUUGUCAACAGCACAAAGACCAAUACAUUUUAAUUUUGUUGGCAUUUUUUAAAUCAUAAGAAACAUUGUCCAUUACAAAUUAAUUAAUGUAUAAUGGAUAAUUAUAAUAUCUAUUAUAUAAUCAAUAAUUAUAAAUGGUUGUUUAAGCAUUUUUCCUAACGUUUUUUAAGCAUUUUUUACAUUUUUUUGUAAGAUCUUACAGUGUAAUAAUUCAUCAUAAAUUUUAGACAUUUGAUGCAAAGGGUACAUCAACCCCUGAAUGUCUGAGAGGUGAUAAAAGUAUUGUAACAUACCUUAGAUGAAUAUUCUGGAAAUAGAUAUUCCUGGUAGAAUAUUGUUAGAAAUUUUGAAUAACUUCUAGUUUUACUGUUUUAAAAAAAUUCUGCUGAUAUUAUGCAAAUUCUUAUUUAUGUCUUGUUAAUCCCAGUUAAGAUUGUUACUUCUUUACUAUUGAUUUAAGUUGUCUGCUCUGUUUCAAAAUAUUUAAAGUGAACUGCAGUGUGUGUUGCAAGUAAAAAAAAAUGCAUUAUGCAGUAUUACAUGUAAAAAUGAAAAGUGUACUAUAAGAAGCAUUCUGAAAAAAAAUUUUAAGAAAUUAUUUAAAAGUAUACAAGGAAUAUACCUAAUAUUAAACUCUUAAUUAGUUGUAUCACUUCUGUAAUUUUCUUUCCCCCUUUCUGUUAUAGUUGGAUCAUUUUGUUAUGAUGAAUUUUGUUUUAAGAAUAAUAUUUAAAUUAAAGAAGCUUAAAAGCAUCAGAAAAAUUAUUUAUUAAAAGUUACGUGUUUUCUUAUCCCCUAUUUUUUAAUUGUAUGAUUUAUAAUAUAAUAUAUAUUUGUCUCCAUUGGUUGAGAAACACUGAUUUUAGAGAGUGGGUUGGUGUACAGCAUGUCCCAUUAUUUUUUCCUAUUCAUGUAUUCUGUAAAAUCAUGACAUGUAUCUGUAUUGAUGUAUAAAUAAAUGAAUUUCUUGAGCAUUUGGGCUCUUGA